UACGAAGGGGGCUAGCGUUGCUUGGAAUCACUGGGCGUAAAGCGCACGUAGGCGGCUUUUUAAGUCAGAGGUGAAAUCCUGGAGCUCAACUCCAGAACUGCCUUUGAUACUGGAGAGCUUGAGUCCGGGAGAGGUGAGUGGAACUGCGAGUGUAGAGGUGAAAUUCGUAGAUAUUCGGAGGAACACCAGUGGCGAAGGCGGCUUACUGGCUCGAUACUGACGCUGGAGGUGCGAAAGCGUGGGGGAGAAACAGG
rnacentral:rRNA from 1 species